CCUACGGGUGGCUGCAGUGGGGAAUAUUGCACAAUGGGCGCAAGCCUGAUGCAGCCAUGCCGCGUGUGUGAAGAAGGCCUUCGGGUUGUAAAGCACUUUCAGCGGGGAGGAAGGCGGUGAGGUUAAUAACCUCAUCGAUUGACGUUACCCGCAGAAGAAGCACCGGCUAACUCCGUGCCAGCAGCCGCGGUAAUACGGAGGGUGCAAGCGUUAAUCGGAAUUACUGGGCGUAAAGCGCACGCAGGCGGUCUGUCAAGUCGGAUGUGAAAUCCCCGGGCUCAACCUGGGAACUGCAUUCGAAACUGGCAGGCUAGAGUCUUGUAGAGGGGGGUAGAAUUCCAGGUGUAGCGGUGAAAUGCGUAGAGAUCGGGAGGAAUACCGGUGGCGAAGGCGGCCCCCUGGACAAAGACUGACGCUCAGGUGCGAAAGCGUGGGGAGCAAACAGGGUUAGAUACCCGGGUAGUC
rnacentral:rRNA from 1 species